CUACGGGCGGCACCAGUGGGGAAUAUUGCACAAUGGGGGAAACCCUGAUGCAGCCAUGCCGCGUGUAUGAAGAAGGCCUUCGGGUUGUAAAGUACUUUCAGCAGUGAGGAAGGGUGAUAAAUUAAUACUUUAUCAUUUUGACGUUAGCUGCAGAAGAAGCACCGGCUAACUCCGUGCCAGCAGCCGCGGUAAUACGGAGGGUGCGAGCGUUAAUCGGAAUUACUGGGCGUAAAGCGCAUGCAGGUGGUCUGUUAAGUCAGAUGUGAAAGCCCGGGGCUUAACCUCGGAAUCGCAUUUGAAACUGGCAGGCUAGAGUACUGUAGAGGGGGGUAGAAUUUCAGGUGUAGCGGUGAAAUGCGUAGAGAUCUGAAGGAAUACCGGUGGCGAAGGCGGCCCCCUGGACAGAUACUGACACUCAGAUGCGAAAGCGUGGGGAGCAAACAGGAUUAGAUACCCCGGUAGUC
rnacentral:rRNA from 1 species